CAAUUACCACUCCGCACUUGUACUGCAGAAAUUGCUCAGGAUUUCAAAAAGGUAUGCAGCCACAGCCUGGAAAUCGCAGAAAAAAAGGGAAUAAACUUCAGCGCAUACCUAGUCAAAGAAGGUGUCCACUUGUCAUGAGGAAGUGGAAGUGCAGGUCAAUGCCCGUAGGAGCCUACAAAGCAUGGAAGCAGAGCAUAAUGUGCACAUCCAGAGGAAGCCUGGCUGCGGUCUGCAUGAAGCAUAACAAGCAAAUGUAACACCUGACAUCAAUCUAAGCAUGGAUACCGUGCUAAACAGAGGGUGAAUAACAACAUGGCUUUAUUCGUACCAGUUAGCUUGCUCAACUUUAUCCAUAACUGCCCUCUGCUUGCUUCCAUGCACCAAAUUCCUACACAUAAAAAGCUCUAUUAAGACUGUUUCCGUUAGAGGAAAGCUCUGGUAAAACCAAAAGAAAGGACAAACUAAAUAUUAGUCUGAGUAGAUCACCAUCAAUUAGCUAGCGGCUUUAAAUUCCACAUCUAAUUGCUUACAUGGCAUAUAUAUGGAAGGAAAACAGAGAAAUAUGUUUGUUUACAUUCGAUUAUCAACUCCAGAAAAAAAAGUGAUGG
rnacentral:lncRNA from 1 species